rnacentral:tRNA from 1 species
GCGCCUGUAGCUCAGCUGGAUAGAGCAACGGACUUCUAAUCCGUAGGUCGGGGGUUCGACUCCCUCCGGGCGCACCA